CCUCGGACCACCUGCCCGGUCGAGCUGCCAUCACCUGCCAGGGUGAGCCACUGCGCCUGAUCAAGGCAUCACCGUUGAACCUCCUAAGAGGAAAACAUAAGGCUGUGCAAUACCAGGAACUGGGAUUCUAGGUUGCCCCAGACACCAAGGCAUCAAAAGCCAGGGGAUCCAGAGAAAACACAGACAGCCAAGAGAGAAACUGCGGGAAAAGCCAAAAGGUUGAGAGCCACACCAUCUAGAAGCUUCCUGCCUGCGGUGCGGCACAGAAACAAGGAGAGUCAGCAAUUACCAGCCAGCCGAGGUCCUGGAAGCUGACGUAGAGCUCGUGCCGACGGCAGACCUGCCGGCCGUGGGAGCCGUGGACGUCAUCUGCAGGGACAGAAGGGGCAAGGUCUUUUCUGGGGUUCCUGCUGUGUGCAGCUACUAUGGGGUACCAGGGUGGGGGAUGCCCUGAUGAGCACAUUUGUCAAAUAAAUGAAUGACAGGAAACCA
rnacentral:antisense_RNA from 1 species